rnacentral:rRNA from 1 species
AUUGAACGCUGGCGGCAGGCCUAACACAUGCAAGUCGAGCGGUAGAGAGAAGCUUGCUUCUCUUGAGAGCGGCGGACGGGUGAGUAAUACCUAGGAAUCUGCCUGAUAGUGGGGGAUAACGUUCGGAAACGGACGCUAAUACCGCAUACGUCCUACGGGAGAAAGCAGGGGACCUUCGGGCCUUGCGCUAUCAGAUGAGCCUAGGUCGGAUUAGCUAGUUGGUGAGGUAAUGGCUCACCAAGGCUACGAUCCGUAACUGGUCUGAGAGGAUGAUCAGUCACACUGGAACUGAGACACGGUCCAGACUCCUACGGGAGGCAGCAGUGGGGAAUAUUGGACGAUGGGCGAAAGCCUGAUCCAGCCAUGCCGCGUGUGAGAAGAAGGUCUUCGGAUUGUAAAGCACUUAAGUUGGGAGGAAGGGCAUUAACCUAAUACGUUGGUGUCUUGACGUUACCGACAGAAUAAGCAACCGGCUAACUCUGUGCCAGCAGCCG